rnacentral:lncRNA from 1 species
UGAGACGGAGAAAAUUUUACAUACAUAACGUAGAGCUAAACAACCAGCACUCCAGCAGACCUCCACCAUGCUCCCACACGACGCGUAAAGUCUCUACAACAGGAUAUGCCUGCACUUACUGAGUCCCUUUUCUUGCUAGGAGGACAGCAGAGAGAAGAGUCUCUUUUAGACAGCCAUCACUAGUCUGACGGACCGAAGGACAGUGUCUUCCGAGGACUGGGACGGAUUCUUGACUCGGGUGUUUGGGAAGCGGAGGGGGGAGUCGCCUUCCUCGGAUUUCGAGUGUCUUGACCUUGGUCCCUCAGUCAUCCAUCAAGUGUCUAUGCGCUGGCACCUGAGAGCCCUCCUGGAUGGGCCUGCCCUCACCCGCAGCGGCAGACACAGUCUGGCCGCACUAAUCCAGAAAAACUGCAUGCCUGCAGGAACGUCAGGUCCAGAGACGACAGGGAGUAGGAACUAAGUCAGGACAGAAUGUCACGAUCACCUUUUACCAGCCCCUGUGCCUCUGUGUGCCCAGGCCUUGCACUCGCACAGUCCAGCCGGCUCCCUCGGGCCACAGCAGGUGUGAGCAGCACUGUGUGCUGCAGGAGGCAGAGAGAAAACGGAGGGACACCCCUGACCUGGGAGUGUGCCAUCAGGUGCCUUGGGCGACCCUCUUCCCAGUGCUGCCACCUCUGACUGCAGC